AUUGAACGCUGGCGGCAUGCCUUACACAUGCAAGUCGAACGGCAGCACGGGAGCAAUCCUGGUGGCGAGUGGCGAACGGGUGAGUAAUAUAUCGGAACGUGCCCGGUCGUGGGGGAUAACGUAGCGAAAGCUACGCUAAUACCGCAUACGAUCUACGGAUGAAAGCGGGGGAUCGCAAGACCUCGCGCGAUUGGAGCGGCCGAUAUCAGAUUAGGUAGUUGGUGAGGUAAAGGCUCACCAAGCCGACGAUCUGUAGCUGGUCUGAGAGGACGACCAGCCACACUGGGACUGAGACACGGCCCAGGACUCCUACGGGAGGCAGCAGUGGGGAAUUUUGGACAAUGGGGGAAACCCUGAUCCAGCAAUGCCGCGUGAGUGAAGAAGGCCUUCGGUGUAAGCUACUUUU
rnacentral:rRNA from 1 species